AAAGGCGCUUUCGGGUGUCGCUGAUGGAUGGACCCGCGGUGCAUUAGCUAGUUGGUGAGGUAACGGCUCACCAAGGCCACGAUGCAUAGCCGACCUGAGAGGGUGAUCGGCCACAUUGGGACUGAGACACGGCCCAAACUCCUACGGGAGGCAGCAGUAGGGAAUCUUCGGCAAUGGACGAAAGUCUGACCGAGCAACGCCGCGUGAGUGAAGAAGGUUUUCGGAUCGUAAAACUCUGUUGUUAGAGAAGAACAAGGAUGAGAGUAACUGUUCAUCCCUUGACGGUAUCUAACCAGAAAGCCACGGCUAACUACGUGCCAGCAGCCGCGGUAAUACGUAGGUGGCAAGCGUUGUCCGGAUUUAUUGGGCGUAAAGCGAGCGCAGGCGGUUUCUUAAGUCUGAUGUGAAAGCCCCCGGCUCAACCGGGGAGGGUCAUUGGAAACUGGGAGACUUGAGUGCAGAAGAGGAGAGUGGAAUUCCAUGUGUAGCG
rnacentral:rRNA from 1 species